GCUACCCACCGGGCCAACCGUCACCGAGGUUCUGACAGGAGCAGUGAGCCGACAGUGAAGGCGAAGCCACGCCCCCUGAUUGGCCAGCUUCUCCGCCUGCUGCAUCCUGGGAGUUGUAGUCCCAGAGUAGAGCCAGAGAGAAAUUUGUCCUGGGCCUAAUAUUCAUGAAGGCUUUCCAGUUCAGACUCGAUAUUAUUGCCAAGUCCGUGUGUUUGGGAGAAAUCAGAAGCCAACACACUAGAAAAGUUGCAGGAGAUUCCUAGGGGAACCCACAAAGUCAGUUCCAUGCCAGAAAGCUACUCCUCCAGAUGAAUCCAGUGCAUCGGAUGGGCUCAGAUGCACAGGUGGCACAGGCAGACCUCUACUGAGAAGAACAACAGUGGAAGGCAGGUGAAACUCACAUUUUGGAGUCUGAGAGCCAUGUGGGCCCACCCCAGUUACGUCUACCCCUGGUCGGUGACCAGAGAAUCCUUUAGCAGCAACAGCAGGCAUGUUUAUUUCACUGGUAUGUAUAAAGCGACUGAUUGAAGACAAGCUGUAUGCCCAACAACUUGGAACUGGUUAAGUGAUUUUUGGUUCAGCCACACAGUGGAAUAUCAUGCAGCCAUUAAGAAUAAAUCAAAAAUCCUAUACUUUCCAUAUUCAACUUUAGACUGCAAACAACUGAACAAACACCUUCAUAAUUAGG